GAUGAACGCUAGCGGCAGGCCUAAUACAUGCAAGUCGAACGGAUAUAUGUUUUUCGGAAUAUAUAUUAGUGGCGCACGGGUGAGUAACACGUACAUAACUUGCCCUCAAGCGGGGGAUAGCCUUGGGAAACUGAGAGUAAUACCCCAUAGAAUUAUUGGACGGCAUCGUUUGAUAAUUAAAACUACGGUGCUUGGGGAUAGAUGUGCGUCUGAUUAGCUAGUUGGUGAGGUAACUGCUCACCAAGGCGACGAUCAGUAGGGGGCGUGAGAGCGUGGCCCCCCACACGGGUACUGAGACACGGGCCCGACUCCUACGGGAGGCAGCAGUAAGGAAUAUUGGUCAAUGGAGGGAACUCUGAACCAGCCAUGCCGCGUGAAGGAUGACGGCCCUCUGGGUUGUAAACUUCUUUUGGAUGGGGCGAAAAAACGGGAUUUAUCCUGGACUGACGGUACCAUCAGAAUAAGCACCGGCUAACUCCGUGCCAGCAGCCGCGGUAAAGUAG
rnacentral:rRNA from 1 species